AGUUCCCUGGAACGGGACGCCGGAGAGGGUGAGAGCCCCGUACAGUUGGACACCAAGCCUUUGUAAAGCUCCUUCGACGAGUCGAGUAGUUUGGGAAUGCUGCUCAAAAUGGGAGGUAAAUGCCUUCUAAAGCUAAAUACCGGCCAGAGACCGAUAGCGCACAAGUAGAGUGAUCGAAAGAUGAAAAGCACUUUGAAAAGAGGGUUAAACAGUACGUGAAAUUGUUGAAAGGGAAGCGCUCGUGACCAGACUUGCGCCCGGCGGAUCAUCCGGCCUUCUGGCCGGUGCACUCCGCCGGGCUCAGGCCAGCAUCGGUUUUCCUGGGGGGACAAAAGUGGCGGGAACGUAGCUCCUCCGGGAGUGUUAUAGCCCGCCGCAGCAUACCCCCGGGGGGACCGAGGACCGCGCUUCGGCAAGGAUGCUGGCGUAAUGGUCACCAGCGACCCGUCUUGAAACACGGACCAAGGAGUCAAGCAUUAGGGCGAGUGUUUGGGUGUCAAACCCGCACGCGAAAUGAAAGUGAACGCAGGUGAGAGCUUCGGCGCAUCAUCGACCGAUCCUGAUGUUUUCGGAUGGAUUUGAGUAAGAGCCUUGCCGCUUGGACCCGAAAGAUGGUGAACUAUGCUUGGAUAGGGUGAAGCCAGAGGAAACUCUGGUGGAGGCUCGCAGCGG
rnacentral:rRNA from 1 species